GCCAAUAAUGUUGCAUACGGUGUGUCAAAGGCCGCUCUUAUUAAACUAACUGAAUCGAUUGCAAGGGAUUUCGGUUCAAAGGGCAUUCGAGCGAAUUCAAUCUGUCCAGGAAUGGUUCGAACACCAAUAUUCCAAACCGGGUGGGGCAUAACAAAAGAAGAAGCUGAUAAAUAUCUCGAUGAAAAUGGUAAACUUUAUCCACUUGGGCGUGCUGGUGAGGUAUCGGAUACAUCGAAUGCGAUUGAAUUUUUGAUUAGCGAGCAGGCAGCUUUCAUCACAGGAUCUUCAUUAACCGUUGAUGGCGGAUCCAUUGUUGGGAUGGUCGAUGCAUAAAUGAAUAGUAAUUUCAUAAUGAGAGACGUAGAGUGGGUUAUGUUUUUCGAAAUGCUAUGUCAAAAUGAAGUUCUGCUUUAUUUUUAACUAAAUCGCCGAAAAAUAUCCAACUCUUAUCUCCAUUUUUGCUAACAAAAAGAACAUAUUUUUCACCAAAAAAAUGUAAAUUUUCUAUAAAAUUUUCGAAAUGGUUAAAAAUUAUAUAUAUAUAUUGUCAAAUGUA